rnacentral:ncRNA from 1 species
AAUGAAGCGAAGAAGCAUUUAGUAGAACGAUGGGCUCCGAAGUAGAAAGUUGGCGGAUGCUGGAAGCCAACCGUCCCGGUUGUUCGAAUUACAGUGUGGAGCUUUCGAUGCUUUCGACGGGUCAUUCCGUUAACGAUGACGAGAGAUGCAGGUACCUGCAUAACUUGGGUGGUAACGCGGAAACUAUUUCGUCCCUAUU